ACGUAGGGAGCGAGCGUUGUCCGGAUUUACUGGGUGUAAAGGGUGCGUAGGCGGCAGAGCAAGUCAGGCGUGAAAGCCAUGGGCUUAACCCAUGAACUGCGCUUGAAACUGUUUUGCUUGAGUGAAGUAGAGGCAGGCGGAAUUCCCGGUGUAGCGGUGAAAUGCGUAGAGAUCGGGAGGAACACCAGUGGCGAAGGCGGCCUGCUGGGCUUUAACUGACGCUGAGGCACGAAAGCAUGGGUAGCAAACAG
rnacentral:rRNA from 1 species